rnacentral:snRNA from 1 species
UCUUUUUAAAUUAAAGUUAGGUU